UACGGAAGGGGCUAGCGUUGUUCGGAAUUACUGGGCGUAAAGAGCGCGUAGGCGGCUUACCAAGUUAGGGGUGAAAUCCCGGAGCUCAACUCCGGAAUUGCCUUCAAAACUGGUAGGCUCGAGUACGGAAGAGGGGCGUGGAAUUCCCAGUGUAGAGGUGAAAUUCGUAGAUAUUGGGAAGAACACCGGUGGCGAAGGCGGCGACCUGGCCCGAUUCUGACGCUGAGGCGCGAAAGCGUGGGGAGCAAACAGG
rnacentral:rRNA from 1 species